rnacentral:tRNA from 1 species
GGAAAUAGCUCAGUGGUAGAGUGCAUGCUUAGCGUGCACGAGGUCCUGGGUUCAUUCCCCAGUACCUCCA